rnacentral:rRNA from 1 species
CAGUCGCCACGGUAAUACGUAGGGUGCGAGCGUUAAUCGGAAUUACUGGGCGUAAAGCGUGCGCAGGCGGUUAUAUAAGACAGAUGUGAAAUCCCCGGGCUCAACCUGGGACCUGCAUUUGUGACUGUAUAGCUGGAGUACGGUAGAGGGGGAUGGAAUUCCGCGUGUAGCAGUGAAAUGCGUAGAUAUGCGGAGGAACACCGAUGGCGAAGGCAACCCCCUGGACCUGUACUGACGCUCAUGCACGAAAGCGUGGGGAGCAAACAGGAUUAGAUACCCGAGUAGUCCCUGUCUCUUAUAC